GAUGCAAUGAGAAUCAGCCCUCCAGCAAAGCUCCCUCUCACCUCCCUGGACAAGACACUGACCAUAAAGCCUGGGAGCACCUGAGGGUACAGGCAGCACCCUGCAGUGUAGAAACCUCCCUUUGUGUCUGACAGAAGCUGUGGUUCAAGCCCAUGUGAUACAGUGGAUAAAGUGCCCAGCUGUGCUGGUAAUCCUGCAAAGAGUGUACUGCCACAGUCCACAGGAAAAAGAUGAACUUUCCCCACUCCAUUCCAGUGGAACCCAUGACUGAGAUGCAUACAGACAUAUUGCAGAGAUCCUUGAAACUGCACAUUUUUGUAACACUCAAGACUGACAGAGAUGUGUUGCAUGUGUUCACAGCUGGGAGGACAAAGUUCCUGCUUUAAUUUUCAUGUUAGCUUUUCAAAAGGAAAUUACUGGAAUGAGCAUUCUGAGAAUGCCAUACAAAGGCCGUGAUCUCUGGCAGAAACUAUUCAUAAUAGGAUGAAUCCCGUGUUA